GAUGAACGCUGGCGGCGUGCCUAAUACAUGCAAGUCGAACGCUGGAAAUCUAGCUUGCUAGAUUGAAGGAGUGGCGAACGGGUGAGUAAUACAUAAGCAACCUACCCACGAAGACUGGGAUAAUCUCUGGAAACGGGGACUAAUACCGGAUAGGUAAUCGGAAGGCAUCUUCUGAUUAUUAAAGGUUAAAAACACUGGUGGAUGGGCUUAUGGCGCAUUAGUUAGUUGGUGAGGUAACGGCCCACCAAGACGAUGAUGCGUAGCCGGCCUGAGAGGGUGAACGGCCACAUUGGGACUGAGACACGGCCCAGACUCCUACGGGAGGCAGCAGUAGGGAAUUUUCGGCAAUGGGGGAAACCCUGACCGAGCAACGCCGCGUGAGUGAUGACGGCCUUCGGGAUGUAAAGCUCUGUUGUAAGGGAAGAACGGUAGAUAGAGAAUAUCUAAAUGACGGUACCUUACCAGAAAGCCACGGCUAACUACGUG
rnacentral:rRNA from 1 species